rnacentral:rRNA from 1 species
UACGUAGGGUGCGAGCGUUGUCCGGAAUUAUUGGGCGUAAAGAGCUCGUAGGCGGUCUGUCGCGUCUGCUGUGAAAACUCGGGGCUUAACCCCGGGCCUGCAGUGGGUACGGGCAGACUAGAGUGCGGUAGGGGAGACUGGAAUUCCUGGUGUAGCGGUGAAAUGCGCAGAUAUCAGGAGGAACACCGGUGGCGAAGGCGGGUCUCUAGGCCGACACUGACGCUGAGGAGCGAAAGCGUGGGGAGCGAACAGG